AGAGUUUGAUCAUGGCUCAGAAUGAACGUUGGCGGCGUGGAUUAGGCAUGCAAGUCGAGCGAGAACCGUAGCAAUACGGGGACAGCGGCGAAAGGGACAGUAAUGUGCAGGUACCUACCUCGAGGACCGGGAUAGCUGCGGGAAACUGCAGGUAAUACCGGAUAACAUCUCCGGAUCAAAGGUGUGAUUCCGCCUGGAGAGGGGCCUACAUCCUAUUAGCUUGUUGGCAGGGUAAUGGCCUACCAAGGCAAUGAUGGGUAGCGGGUGUGAGAGCACGACCCGCGUCACUGGGACUGAGACACUGCCCAGACACCUACGGGUGGCUGCAGUCGAGGAUCUUCGGCAAUGGGCGCAAGCCUGACCGAGCGACGCCGCGUGCGGGAUGAAGGCCUUCGGGUUGUAAACCGCUGUCAGUGGGGGAGGAAAGGCUCCGUGAAGAGCGGGGUUUGACCUAUCCGCAGAGGAAGCAAGGGCUAAGUUCGUGCCAGCAGCCGCGGUAAGACGAACCUUGCAAACGUUAUUCGGAAUUACUGGGCUUAAAGGGUGCGUAGGCGGUGCAGAAAGUCAGGUGUGAAAUACCUCAGCUUAACUGAGGAAUUGCGCCCGAAACUACUGUGCUAGAGGAAGACAGAGGUAAGCGGAACUUAGGGUGGAGCGGUGAAAUGCGUUGAUAUCCUAAGGAACACCGGUGGCGAAAGCGGCUUACUGGGUCUUAUCUGACGCUGAGGCACGAAAGCUAGGGUAGCGAACGGGAUUAGAUACCCUAGUAGUCC
rnacentral:rRNA from 1 species